UUCUGACCUGGCGGAGGGCAAAGAAGUGUGUGCGUGGGGUGGGGGGGCGUGGAGGAGUGAGAGGAAGAGUGGUCUCCUCCAUAUCACUAAUCUCCCUGAAACCGGAGCCUUUAUUGGAUCCGAAGGGCAUUAAAAGGCAGGCCGGCGUCCUCCAGCUUCGGCAAAGGGAUUGCUUUCAUUGAGGAAAGGCGAGGCGCAAAAGCCUCGCAGCAGAGCCCAGUCUGGCUCAGUCCGUCUCCCCGUGUGGCCGUCCCAAGGUCUUCGAGCCGGGCUGCGCAUGGCCGGCCCUCUGACACGGCCGGACCCGGCUCCGGCGCACGUGCCUCCCGCUGGAAUGUGGCCGAGCAUUGCGCGCUCGCUCCUGGCCCUCACACGUCUGCCAGGCAAACACCAGGAUGUGCUCAACUCGGCUCGUGAAAUCCAUUUGACAGCACCGUUGAAAAGUUUCAUUCAAGGGAGCACAGCCUCCUCUUCUGGACAAAAGAGAAAGUAGCAAGAAGAGCGCGAUGGAGCCCCCCGUCGUCGCUGUGCGGCGUGCGGAGCCAGCCUUGUUGCUCGGAGUCCUACAAAUCAAGUUUACAGCAAUCACGGCAGUUCUUCAGAUGAGCUGCUGCUCCUCAUGCUCCAGGCUCAGGAUCCAAGGAAUGCUGUGGCAUUUCGGAAAGCUGACUUUGGGCAAUGCUGGCAUCACAUCCGUGACGUCAUCACCCAGUCCAAAGCGCACGGAAAAUGGAUGCAGGCUCUGUGCGCGCUCUCGGCCCGGACAAGACAAAGAAAGAAAAAGGCCUCAUUUAAUGGAGGUGAACAUCCGUAAUGUUAAUAAAAUGUCAAAUAAGUGUAUGAGAGAACUCUGGAUGGAAAUACGAGCAGGGGCCUGUGCGUGAAGAGACGGACUGCCGUCAACAACGUACCCCAAAUGACGGCAGCGCCUAGCAAGCUUGGGUGCCGAGCGUUUCUCAGGUGACGGACGGGGAGGAGGACGAGAUGGCGACAGCAGCGAAGGAGGCAUGCACAUCCACUGCAGGUUUUUCCUCUUUUAAUGGGUGAGGUUGUGUGUCAGGUCAGUGGGAGCCAAUUUUAACGUCGAGCGGCGGGGUGUCAAGGUUUAUCUUAAACACGACGGAGACCCACUGAGCCCUUCUCUUAACAUGCAAAUGAGACAGGAACAAAUGUCCUGUCACUUUGGGGCGGCUUGUCCCAAAGUGCUUACCACUCUUCCCCGUCAGCCCCCUCUCUUCAGCCUCUUCAAUUGCUUCAAAUCCCAUCCGGUGCCUCCCUCACUCUCUUAUGUUCUUUAAAUGAGCUUUCCAACUCCACUUCUUUCUUGCAAUUCAAUUUUACAAGGCCAUUAUCCCCGGUGUAAUGUGGAGGUUAAAUAUAUCGGGGCAGACGUUAUGUGAAAAUAAUUAGUGUUAAUGAAUAAUGCAUUCAUUCCGCCGAUGAAGGAUGGUUGUCAGGGUAAUGCAGGACAUGGGAGGGGCCCCUCUGACAAAUUAAAAUAUUUAAACACUCUUGUAUAAUAUUACCGAGUCUUUCAGUGGUACCUACUCCUCGACACGAAGAGGCACCGCAUUACUCAAGCGCAGCAUCUGUCCCAUUAAAGGGAGAUCUCGUUCCCGCAGCACACUUUUCACACAUCUCCACAAAGCUAAUCAUGGCCACUUCCUGCAAUAAUCACUUGUAGGAUGGAGCAGAAUCACGUCGACAGCCUUUGUCUGCCUGCCGGAUUCUAUUCCAGCCCUCUUUAUUUAUUGCGAUGACACACAUUCGGCCUCCAUUUCGAUCUCAUUCUGCGGCCGUUAUGUGACACUGAAGGACGUGCAUUUUAAAUCAUCCAGUUUACAGCGGCAUGCCGGCCAAUUGGCCAGCUCAAUCGAUAAUGUUUGGGCCAGAAGGUUUUGGUGAAUGAUAAACGGGAAAGCAUUUCAUUUGACAGGAUCGUUAGAGGAGGCCAAAAGUAAGUGACUGUGACGGGAAAUGUCGUGACUUUAGUUGCACAACCGCAAAGCUUGUGUGGUUUAAUAACCCAUCAGCAGCAAAGUGAGUUUUAUUUGCAAGUUCUAUUACAGGUCGUGAAAAGAGUAUUAAGAGUUGGUCCCCCGUUUGCAAUAGAGAUAGACAGCUAGCUAGCUAGGUAGAUACAUCCAUUAUUUGAACUUCCGAUAUGCACACACACACACACACACACACAAACACACACAAAAGUCCAAGUCCAGGAGCCAAAAAGCCUGUCCCCGCAAUAGUUUGGCUUUAGCCGCAGGUGCUUCUACUCAACCGGCAGGUGAAUGAGCUCCGAGGAGCUCAUUUGAGGUCGAUGUAUUACAACAUAUAUUAACUCAUUCUCAAGCCCUUUUGGAGGGCAAAUGAAUCAGACGAAACAAAAUACAGCCGUCGAGUUGGGAAUUUGUCCGACAUACUUGGUAAAUACACCCUGGAAAAUGCUUGAGCAAAAAUGGCAAAAGGGGAUGUUGAAAAAAUAAAAAUCAUCAAAUGGAAAACUGUGUCUCUGAACGUGGAGAAUCCCACCAGUCUUAAAUUGUGCAUUUUGAUGGCUUCUGGAGGAAAAUGGUGGCCCUUAUCAAAAGGCUAUAAGCACUGAAGUAUUCCGGCUCUUUCCCUGGGGUUCGGCAAAGGCGGCAACCACACACUCUUUUUAUGAAGCUCAUAUUGUGCCGAAUGGAGCCAUUUCGAUUUGCUUUGUAAAACAGGCCUAAUUACGGCGCCUAUAGUGAGCGAGGCGCACGUCGAACAGGAUGUCGCGCUACAAGCUUGUAAUCUCGGCCACUUUCCCCUCGUCUCUACAAACACUGAUUACAUGGGGGACUUUAAAAGGGGAAAUUACACCAAAACAAUUUAAAUGUAAUGUUGCAGUCAUACGUACGGCGGGAAGAAGGAUGGACAAAGAUAUGGCCGCAUUAAUAAUACAUGCUUUAAUUAAGCAGCAGGGAGCGCAAGGAGCAGGAUCAAGAAAUGGCGGAAUGCAGAAAAUGGGGGAAGCGGCGUGAAAGAUGGCAGGAGGAAAAAAAAGUUAGCCCGAAUGACAAAGAAUGUCACCAGGUUCCAACGUGGAGGGAGGGAGGGAGGAUGUGUUCCAUUCUGCGCUUCAGAACCAGUAAAUAUGCAAAGGCUUGAUCAAGCAGAGCUUUGCCACUCAUCGACAUGUUGCACGGUGAGCUUUCAUCCAUCCAGCAAUCACGGCGGGUCUGUGCGGCACCUCCGACACACCAUAACGCACGGGAUGGAAAGAUGCUUCCAGCCGGAGGAAUUCUUCCAAAGGUUGGGAAAUUGUUGUUCAGUGUUACAAUCCCAAUCUCACUUCAGCACCUACUGAUGCAAAUACAGUAAAACAGCGGGUGCUAAUUUUGGAGUGAUUACAGUCAUCCACAUCGCGGUUCAUGUCUUGUGGCUUCAGUGCUUUGUGGGAUUUUCCAAAAUACUGUAUUCAUAAAAUAUAUAUCAUAUGGAAAAAAAUGCAGCUGUAU